GUACGCCGACAUUCCAUGCCUGUUUUUGUUGUCGCAGAUGCUGCCAGAUCCAAACGGAAGCUCCGCUUAUGCGCGUGGCAUUGUGGCGGCGAUGGUGGAUCCGACACGAGUGAAGCCUCCUCUUCUUAAGGCUCUUCAGAGAGACGUGCGAACGAAUUCUCAGGAGGAGGCAUUGAGCAAGAGCGAGAGCACUCCGACGGCGACUUGAACAGAGAGGAAUGAACCUGUUUCUGCGUGUGCCGGGCGAGGCCCAUGGCGAUGUUGCCUCGGUGCACGUUUGCUACAACAUGGAAGUAGAGGAUGCGCCCUUUGCCGCAGCAGAAGUGAACAACCAUCGCAAUGCUUGCACGCUGCUUAAGUGACUGGCCAGUGACGACACUGUACUGGCGUAGCUUGGUCAGCGGAUCCUAGUGGUUUCAUGUCUGCGUUCUUUUGAGGGGGUGAGGGCUUGCAACGCGCCGCAUGGAGAAGGUGGAUUGAGCGACCGGGUGACGACGAGUAGCCACCAGGAGUUUUACAGUUUCUGCGUUGGAUGAGGUUCCGCGAUGAAGUCCGAGGCGGAGGAGAAGCAUUGCCAGGAUGUGAGCACGCUCACAACACAUUUGGAGAUCCUGGUCUGUCAACUGGAGCAUUAACGAAAAUUCUUUCUCUUCUUCGGUAACUCUUGUGCUGAAUAUUCAAUGUGACCACAUGGACUCGCUUCAUAUAUGCAGCAGACCGGAAUUUCCCUUGUGAUGUUGAUGUAUUAGUAGGCGAGGUUUUGGAUGAACAAUUAUGGUGACGACGGGAAUCUGUUGCUAGUUUGCACUCUAUAUUAUUACAUGAUGUGGAAGAAAUCCUCUGUUUCCGAGCAGAAUCCCACGUGAUAGAUGUAUUAGCAAAUUCACUGCCAUUUGCAGAAGGCCUACAUUGUCCAGCGAAGUUGGAGCUGCUGUCCGAGACUUGGAGAAGGACAUAGACUCCCACUCACUUGCUAUGUGGCCUUGAAGAAGACUCUUUUUGUCUUUGUAAGCCGGAUCGUUAUUUAGGACCAGCUAUUUUUACUGGACUUGCAAAAUCAAUUCUCUUAACCUCAAUCCAAAGGUAAGCAAGUUGAUCGAGAGGCGGGCUUCUCAAAUAAGUGUUCAGAUUUUCCUCAUCCAGGAUCUUUCGAUACUUCGAAGCAGAUAGCUCUCUUCGACAAUCCUUUCAGAAACACAAGGAUCUUGAUUUAAUACACUUUCUAGAACUCACCCACUGAGUUCUGAGAGCUAGUCUAUAUUUUGGAGCAGCCAUGUCCUAGCCAAGAUUCUUCCUCUGGGACUUUCACAUCGGCACAAAGGAAAACUUGAAAGAAAUUUUAAGCUCAUUCAUCAUUUUGGUCACAAAAAUCACUGUUGUGCCUUCACUAACGUUCAUGGCGGAGGUAACAGCUCUUGCGGUGGUCACACUGGGCCGCUUAGUGAACACAGAAGUGCCUUCCUUAAGCUUUUGAAGAUGAAAUUGUUGUUACACCAUACUAGUUGCAAAAAAAUAAAAUUGAAGACUAAAGAUGUGAAGCAGCAAGUACCUAAGAUCGUGUCAGAUAUAAAUUCUUAUCUACAGAAUUCUCUUGCUGGGUUGAUUCUACUGAAGCCCAUGAAAUUUAACAUCUUGGAAGCUCACGGACAGGUGCUGUCUAUUUCCCGUCAAACGUACAGUACUGUACACCAGAAGAAUGAGCACAUAUCACUCUCAUGAAGCAGUCCAUUUCUAAUCAGUUCUCACUUGAUUGGGACGGGGUACAGUAGUUUGAUAUCCUAGUCUUGUUGCAACUACCGCAAUCUACGCUACAUGAAGCAACUUUCUAGACACCAGUUUUGUUUCGUGUAAAUGUUAGCGCCGUUUUUUGAGUUUCCUUUUGAAAAUUCCUUGAGCGGAGUACUUUUGGUUGGAGUUAAUUCUCCAGUCGCAGUCGCAAUAUUUCUGAAAGGAGGCGUUUUUCUCAGUACCCAGCAAUGAUUUCUAGCAUAAAUUUAAUGCGAGCCAUACGGAACUAGUUUUUUGUU